AGGAGGAAAUCCUAUGUGUCUGCUCCCGGAGCUGCCACAACCCAUCUUCCCACAACUCGGAACUUGGAAAAAGGAACCCAGGACACGACUUUGCUUUUCUUUUGGACCUAGUUGAAGUCACAGCUUGGAGGAAACCAGUUUGCACUAUUUGAUGAGGAAUUUGGCCACCAAACCACUGAUACUUUCCCAAAGAUACAAGUUAACAGGAUAUGCUUCUGGCCUGUUUCUGGAUUCUAAGGGUAGAACCAGCAUAAAACUAGUCAGUCCAAGUAUUUCUAAAGAUCCACAGACACAGUUCUCCUGGAUUUGGGAAGCCUAGAGAUAUUAGCACAAUAAUUAAGGCCCAACAACUUUUAAAAGCCUUUCCACUGCACAGUGAAAGAAAACCACAAACUCCUUGUUUAAUAAGUGGGAUCACGUGCUUUUAACACGAGGAAAAGGUCAAUCUGAAGCAACUGAUAUGGAACUGCCAGAGUAGGAGUUGAAAAUCUUCCUAAACUGCUGGAGGAUACACCUCUGAUAGCUUGAGACAAAUAUCCUCUUGAUCAUUGUUUCACCAUAUUUGUCUUUGCUCAUGGAGAACCAUUUUGAUCCGUGGUUUAGCCUCCCAGGUGAUUGAACAAUACCGGUGAUCUGAGGCAGACCCUCUGUGACGGAUAACAGGAAAGAAUAUUGAUUGAACAUCUACUCAAGAACUGCAAAACAGAGAUUACCUGACCUAAAGCAUUUAUAUUGCCAAUCAUGUUGGAGAGUCCAUGUGGUGAUUUCUGAAAACGAGAUGUGAGAAAGAAGAGGAUAAUUUAAGUCUAGACCUACAGAUUGUGCUGAUAAAGUGAUGAAGAACUACAAUCUUCUUAGUCAUUUCAUUGUAUAAGUGCAAUAAAGGAUUUUGUGUCUUUCCUGGCAAACAACUUGUGACCACAGUGAUGGCUCCAGCAGAAUGGAAAAGACCCUUUACCUCACAUCUCAGAAGUAAAGAUGCUGAUUAUUUGACAUCGCCAUUGGAAUCUCAAAACAGUGUAAAGCAUUUGCUAAAAAGAGUCACUUUCUGAGAAAUGACUCAGAAUUCGACUUACGUACUAGCAGAACUUAUUGCCCAUAAAAGGAAAGGCCACACUUUUUGUGAAAACUUAAUAAUCCCUAGGAUGUAAAAUUAUACUGAGUUAAAUCCUAGUCCCAUUUUUAGUACAAGAAACUGGAAAAAAAUAAUCCACUCUCAAAUGGUAAGACAAAUUGAGAUAUUGCUGAAAAGCCUCUUGACCCUGAAAAGUUCUGAAUAAUAAACUGAUAAAAGCAGCAGCAGCAUCUAACUUGACACCAGUCAUGUCAUUUGUAAGUAAGGUUGGUAAAUAGUAAUGAAAUUCAAGCAAUAUUUUCAGCUAUGAAGAGCUGCUCAAACCAAGCAAAGGCCAAGAUCUACUUUAAAUUUUGUCUACGUAUCUUUAAACAAGGCAUCUGUCUUGGGGGCAUUGUGUUAGCAUCUGUACCGGUAACACCUCAUCCAGGGUUGGCUUGAUAAGAGGCUUCACAUUUUUUGUAGAAUAAGAAAAAAACCUGGCAUUGUCACAACACACUGAUUUGUUCAUGCAGUAGUGCUUGGGGUCAAAAACUCUUGGAAUGACCAGGCAGAGUGGCUCACACCUGUAAUCUCUGCACUUUGGGAGGUCAAGGUGGGCGGAUCACUUGAGGUAAGGAGUUCAAGACCAGCCUGGCCAAUAGGGUGAAACCCCAUCUCUCUUUUUUUUUUAAAUUAUACUUUAAGUUCUAGGGUACAUGUGCACAAUGUGCAGGUUUGUUACAUA
ensembl:lncRNA PRKCQ-AS1 PRKCQ antisense RNA 1